GUUGACUUGUCAAAGACCUGUUCCUUUUGAUAAAACACAAGACCACCACAGAAGAAUGCGCAACCAAGCACCAGUAACAUGUUUGACAAAAUGGAGCCUAGUAAUGAUAACUGAACAACCCGUAUCAUAUUACUUCUCAGUGCAUAGAUUGCAAUAAUCAGUUCUGUUGCAUUUCCGAAUGUGGCAUUGAGAAGACCACCAACUGUAGAUCCUGUGUAAAAAGCCAGCUGCUCUGUAGCAUAACCUAGUCGCUCAGCCAAAGGUGUUAUACCCAAUAA
rnacentral:misc_RNA from 1 species